rnacentral:rRNA from 1 species
UAUUAGAGUUAAUAAAAAUUUAGUAGUAAGUGAUUCACAUGAAACUAAAAUUAAUUGGCGGCUUUAUAAAUUUAUUAGAGGAAUUUAUUCUUUAAAGGAUUAAACACCAAAAUCUUACUUUUAUUUGUUAAAUUUAAUUUUUAGAACAGUUUGUAUAUCUCUAUUUAGAAAUAUUAAAUAUAUUUUGUAUUCUAUGAAGAAAAAUUUUAGGUAAAGGUGCAGCUUAUGUAAAAGAUUGAAAUAAAUUAUAUAAAUUAUUAUUUAGCUAUAUUAUAUUGUAUUAAGUAUAAACAGGGUAAAAUUUAAAAGUAAAAAUAUAGUAAAUAGAGCUAUUUUGAAUUACUAUUUAUUUGUGUACAUAUUGCCCGUCACUCUCUUAUUAGAG